rnacentral:ncRNA from 1 species
AGUCUUUGGGGUUAGGUGCAAUUCCUUACCGGCGGUAUAGUCCGCGACCCGAAUGGGAUGAAUCGGUGUAAUUCCGAUACCGACAGUAAAGUCUGGAUGAGAAAAGAC